ensembl:lncRNA
AGACAACUUCCCUCCGAAGGGUAGACGGGCCUGCUGGGAUACUGAGGGAGGACUGGGUCAGGCGCUGGGCGGGGUUUUCGCAGCUCCGCGGAACGCCGGGAAAGGGUCACGUCCAGAUGAGGGAUCCGGUUCCGGUGCAGACGGCGGCCUCGGCGUUGCCGCGGCAGUGCGGUUGGCCGGUACCUGGGUGGUGAGCUCGCGUUGUUGGAGGGGCUGGAGUUGUUCUCGGUCCUGUGUUGUCCGCUUAGAGUCAUUGAUUCCAGGUAAAUCAGAGGAACAGACAUCAUGAACAGAAAUAAUACAGGAAGUGAUGUGAUGCCGAAGUUUAACUGUUGUUCCAGAAGUCCAGCAUCUGUGGCUCAUAACUUUAGGAACUGUAUCAUUUGCAAGGGAGAAGAAUUUGCAAACUGAUUAUGUGAGGGUCCGAAAUGUAAAACCGAGCCGUGGGGAGUAGCCUGUUUUUUGCCUGGUGUGUAAUAUCGGCUUUGCCUGUUACAACUGACAGACAUUUUAUUAAGUUGAGAAUAUAGCUGUCAUUAAAGACUAAGAAUAAUCCUUGAGCAGGAAGAAUAUGAACCCUAUGUUUUCCAAAAUUACGAUAGAGUUGCUGGUUACAGUCAAGUAUGGUGAGACCGUCCGUGAAAGGCAAG